AGAGUGAACGCUGGCGGUAGGCCUAACACAUGCAAGUCGAACGGCAGCACAGUGGUAGCAAUACCAUGGGUGGCGAGUGGCGGACGGGUGAGGAAUACAUCGGAAUCUACCUUUUCGUGGGGGAUAACGUAGGGAAACUUACGCUAAUACCGCAUACGCCCUUCGGGGGAAAGCCGGGGAUCGCAAGACCUGGCGCGGAUAGAUGAGCCGAUGUCGGAUUAGCUAGUUGGUGAGGUAAUGGCUCACCAAGGCGACGAUCCGUAGCUGGUCUGAGAGGAUGAUCAGCCACACUGGAACUGAGACACGGUCCAGACUCCUACGGGAGCAGCAGUGGGGAA
rnacentral:rRNA from 1 species